rnacentral:rRNA from 1 species
GGUCCGUAGUGACCUGCGGAGGAUCAUUA